AAUUUUGGACCCUACAUUUCAACCUAACCAGCCUCUCAACUCUUGCAUCCUUCCGCCUCAAAAUCAUGAAUAUUCACCAAAACCUGGUAGAACAUGUAUUUUCAAACCCUUUUCUUCGAUUCUACACCAAAAAGUCAACAAAAAUCGCCAUGCAAAAGGGGGAAAAAGGGAAAGGGAGAGAAAGACUAAAAAUAACUUUUGCCUGCAUUCGUGGGGUGACGGCGUAGAAAUAUUUGGUGAGCUGUGUCCAUGUAGCAACAGACGUAACACCACACGGGUAUUAUCAGAGCAGUUACGGUGGGAUAUAGAUAUACAGACAGGUUUAACAUUAUUGUUAUUGAGAGAUUUACAGUUACUAAGAAGCCGUUUAGGGCAGAGAUAUAUUCUCGAAGUAUGGAGUAGAGGAUUUCUGUGUGCUGAAUGAUUGUCACAUCGAAACCUUUCUCGGAACGGACAACCGGCGUUGGAUGUUUAGUAAAAUCCCAGAACUAUUAUCGAAGUUGGAAAGUUUAAGGAAUAUUAGUCAUCUAUACAUAUAAAAAGAAAGAAAAAAACAAUAAAAAUGUAUUGUUUUAUUCAAAAUACAGGGUGUUUUGUGUAAUUAAAGGUGUUUUGGAUUGUUUGAGAUAAAUCUAUGGACCCUUGUUAGACUGCCUAGACGCUAAGCAACCACAGCUUUAUUAUACUAAAUGAUUUAAGCGGGAUUUAGUAACUGUAUGAGAAUAACAUACUGCACAAUUAUAUGGAAUACAUGUUACUUGAAGGAUUUAUUUCAGCGACGUUUCGACGAGGGUUCUCCCGUCUUUAUCAAGCAAAGAAUGACAACCAUAGUACAAUGAAGAUAAAAUAUGGAGCAAAUACAAACAUUAAUAUACAAUCAGAGAUGGACAUUUAGAAACCAUCAAAGGGGGUGGGAGCCAUAAGGGUUGGGUAACAAUGAACUAUGUACAAAGAAAACAUGAUAAUAGAGACAGCUAGAUUGGGAGACCAUAAACAUUGUAGAGAAGUCAAUAGGUACUGAGCUUAGCUGCAAUCCAUCGUGAGUUUUGGGAGAAUCAAGAAGAACCCCCCCCCCCUCUCAACCACACGCACACACUUCGUUCUACCACCCUGCGCGCCUUUGGUCAAUUUCCUGCCCAGUUUUGCAAACUGGGACAUGCAUCUCCCUCACGAAUAGAAACAAAUUAAAGUGAGUUUUCGACAAAAUUGAGCAAUGACAGAUUUUCAAGACAAUUGUGUGUGUAAGAAAAGCUUAUGACAGUGUCAUUUAUACAUCUAGGCCAGAUGUCCCUAGAUCUUAAGGUCCUGGGUUUCAGUCUGCCAAGCCUAUAGGUAAAUCCGACACUGCUUUGAUGACUAACAUGAAAUUACUACAUGUACUUUAAAAAUUAUUUUCACAUCACUUCGUUCGGCUGAUCAUUUAUAAAUAUAAACAUAAAGGGUGUCAGUAUUAUUUAUAAAUUUCCUUCUAUAUCUUAUCUUGGCUCUACCUUUUUCCAUCACAAUGUAAAUGUGCAAAUUUUUGUACAACUGAGUCAUAAAGUAAAUUAAGAAUAACAUCCUGUAUUUAUAAAAACGUGAAAAGUAAAUGAAAAUGAAAUAAAAUGGGGUUUAACGUCCUACGGUUCUGCUCCUAACCUGGGCUAAUGAAGACGGGCAUACGCCAUACAGUGUGCUAUGAGGGAAAUUUUGCCCGGGCAGCGGCACUAUGGCCGACUCUUAUAUCGAAUGCCAACUGCAAAGGGAUAUUUUACGUGCAUGCCAAUGUGUACAAGGGAGAACCACGCCGGAAAAUCUGGAUGAACUUCCUCGGCCAAUGCAGGGAUCGAACCGAGAUUGGCCGAGAAAGUUCAUCCAGGGUAAUCCUAUAUCUGUAGUUACCAAGCUUAAAUGAGUAAGCAUAUUUUCUAGGUCGUUAAGCCCCGUCUUUAUUAUAAUGUGAAUGGUUAACCCCGAUUAUAUUUCAGUUCAGUUCAGUUCAGUCUGCUCGGCUGUCUUUCAUUUCUUAUCUCUUAGGUAUAAUUGAAAUAUUGACAAGUGGCGUAAUACCAACCAACAGAGAAGAACUACAGCUUACAAUGGCCAACUUGUAUUGGGUAAAAUUUAUAAAACCACAGACAAGAUAGAGUUACACACAGGACACUUUGGACUGACUCGGAUGUUCAAGUUACUGAUCAAUCUGUAAUGGGUUGUUUUAGCACUUGCACCUACUUGUCUCUGCCUGUUGCAUCUCAUAAUAAGGGCCCUCGCAAGCGUAUGUGACGCCCCCACCCCACCCCACCCCUGCAUACUGGGACUGCUUUGUUCAGUGCCCGCGCCCGGUUGACUUUUUAGGAUUAAAGAAUUUUAAAAUAUAAUUCUUUAUAUUUUUAACUUUUAAACUAAAUAACUGUUAUAUUUUUAUGUUUAUU